rnacentral:ncRNA from 1 species
AAUGAGUUGUUUCGUCGCUUUUUAUUAUAAGUUAUAUGGGCUUUUUUGUGAAAUCGAAAAGCUCUAUGAUAUCUGUGAUGGAGUUAUCAACUAUAGAUAUUAUAGAGCC